rnacentral:lncRNA from 10 species
UUUAGUCUAAAACAAAAGCUAGGCAUUUUCUGCACCUUUGAGGAUUUACCUAGCCGGGUCCUCCAGAAGACAGAGCAAUCUACCUGUCAGGUGCCAGGACUUCCUCUCUGUUUCCGGAUCACACUCCGUGACCCCAUGAGCUCCUCAGGACAGGGAUGAUGUCACCAUCAUUUUUGUGUCUUCAACUCCUCCACCUCAUAGAUUCUCAGUGAAUGUUUGCUGAAUCAGUAGCGCCAGCUUCACAUGCUUUAGAGGCAGAA